GACGAACGCUGGCGGCGUGCUUAACACAUGCAAGUCGAACGGAAAGGCCCUGCUUUUGUGGGGUGCUCGAGUGGCGAACGGGUGUGUAACACGUGAGUAACCUGCCCUUGACUUUGUGAUAACUUCUGGAAACUUGGGCUAAUACCGGAUAGGAGCUCCUGCUGCAUGGUUGUGGUUGGAAAGUUUCGGCGGUUGGGGAUUGACUCGCGGCUUAUCAGCUUGUUUGUGGGGUAGUUGCUUACCAAGGCUUUGACGGGUAGCCGGACUGAGAGGGUUACCGGACAAAAUGGGACUGAGAUACGGAACAGAAUCCAACGGGAGGCAGCAGUGGGGAAUAUUGCAAAAUGGGCGGAAGCAUGAUGCAGAAAAGCCGCGUGCGGGAUGAAGGCAUUCGGGUUGUAAACCGCUUUCGAAUGUGACGAAGCGUGAGUGACGGUAAUGGGUAAAGAAGCACCGGCUAACUACGUG
rnacentral:rRNA from 1 species